rnacentral:rRNA from 1 species
UAGGGAAUCUUCCACAAUGGACGCAAGUCUGAUGGAGCAACGCCGCGUGAGUGAAGAAGGCUUUCGGGUCGUAAAACUCUGUUAUUGAAGAAGAACGUGCGUGACAGUAACUGGUCAUGCAGUGACGGUAUUCAAUCAGAAAGUCACGGCUAACUACGUGCCAGCAGCCGCGGUAAUACGUAGGUGGCAAGCGUUGUCCGGAUUUAUUGGGCGUAAAGCGAGUGCAGGCGGUCUUUUAAGUCUGAUGUGAAAGCCUUCGGCUUAACCGAAGAAGGGCAUCGGAAACUGGGAGGCUUGAGUGCAGAAGAGGAGAGUGGAACUCCAUGUGUAGCGGUGAAAUGCGUAGAUAUAUGGAAGAACACCAGUGGCGAAGGCGGCUCUCUGGUCUGUAACUGACGCUGAGGCUCGAAAGCGUGGGUAGCAAACAGGAUUAGAUACCCUGGUAGUC